GCUAGUAAGGGCGACGAGGGCCACGUGACCAGUGCUGCUCGCCCUGCUGCCUCCAGGGGAUGAGGUGGGGAACUAACUCACCCUCGGAUUCCGGACCUUAAGUAUGUGUGCGUCUGCCUGCAAUGUGCAGGGUACGUGCAUGGGGAGGCAGGGUGUGAGAUUCCACGGCUGACUUGGUAGAGUGAGACUGAGUGGAAGAGGGAAAGGGAGUGAGCUUCCUGCCAGGGCCCCUGCUAUGCACUAUCUCCCUUCAAAGGUGGACUUUGAACUCAGCCAGACCCUGCCUCCUAUCAGAUCCCUGCAUCUUCCCUUCCGAGCAGCAGAUUUCCAGGGCUGGAAUCUUAUCUGCCAGCACUCGUAGUUCAAACCCAGCAUGCCUGACACUCUGAAAGGCCUGGAUCCCAGGAAGAUACAGAGAGGGGACAGGAGCCACCACACCCUUCUUUUACAGCCAUCCCCCACCCCGGAAAUGCAGAGGGCUGGGGCAAAACAGAAUUCCGCAUGCUUGCAGACUGUGGCAGCUGCUUCACCACAGGAGAUCAAAAGUCUUCCAAAGAAAUUCCCGCAGAAAGAAAUGCGUGAUGGCAAGUCCAGAAAAAUAUAGGCAAGAAAAACUCAUCCAAACACCUUAUUCUCUAUGAACAACAACAAAAAUGGUGGUAGACCUGGAGUCUUACCAGUGUCCAGCCUCAGAAGUCUUUUACCAGGCUGUGCCUGCACAGGCUACGACCUACACACUCACGGGUCACAAGAAGCAUGAGAAAGGCAAGUGGGCUCAGCCUGGAGCCAAGCUGCAAAGAAAGGCAUUUUCUCACACAUGGUGAGUACUCAGGCUUGGCACUCAGUGCUCAAGGCUGGAGCAUCAGCUCCGCCCAGCAGCCUCCAGCCGUGCUCAGCACCCUAGCACCCUCUAGUGACCUCCUGCCCAACUGCAGGAGCCCGUACCGGCUGUGAACUCCCCCUAGGCUGGCACAGGGACACACCUUCUACUGUUGAGUGCCCACUGUGUGUUUGUUUCUGGAGAUGACAAAAUUCGCCACCAAGUGUCUUUGCUCACUGUGCCUAUUAGACUGCUUUCAUCUCUGAAGAAUGAACCUGACGGAGUCGCCAAAGAUACUACCUUGUUUGUUUGUUUGUUUGUUUUGAGAAAAGGCCUCAUGUGGCCUCAAACUCCAUCCUUAGCUGAUUCUCCUGUCUCUGCCUUCCAAGUGUUGGGGUUACAUCACAAGACAACCCCCAGUUUCUGUGGUGCUGGGGUUCUCCCCAGGGCUUUGAGGGUGUUAGGAAAGCCCUCAUCACCUGAGAGAUGUCCUCCAUCUGCUUGUCCUGUUAUUGGGAUGAUCUUCCAGGAGGCUGCUGGGGGCUGUACUCACAGACUGCUCACAGUGCAGGGCUCUCAGCUGGACCGGUGAAGUAGCCCACACACCAUGGGCUCACUCCUCCAGCCAUUUGAGGUUUCUCUUGGGAACUGCCUGUCACAUCCUCUCCCUAUUUCUCCCUUAAUCUUUGGUUUCUUUAAAGAAUUUUUUUUUUUAAAAAGAAGAGAUUUUUGGUUUUGUUUUAUGUGUACUGAGUUCUUUGCCUGCAUGUGUGUGUGUGUGUGCCUGGAUCCCAAGGGGGCAGGAAGAUGUCAGUGGAUCCCUUGGAAGUAGAGAUGGUUGUAAGCUACCUUCUGAGUACUUGGAACUGAAGCCAGGUUGCAAGAGCAGCAAGUGUUUGUUGUAACACCUAAGUAAUCUUUCCAGCCCCCCUCUCUGUCUGUCUGUCUGUCUGUCUGUCUGUCUGUCUUUCUUUCUCUCUCUCUCUCUUUCUUUCUUUCUUUCUUUCUUUCUUCCUUUCUUUCUUUCUAAGAAAGAAAUAAAUCCCUGGGUGUCCUGAAACUCAACUCUGUAGACCAAGCUGGCCUCCCCAGUGCUGGGAUUAAAUCAGUGUACCACCACUGCCUGGCUGAUAAAAAUAUUUUUCAUUUUUUUUAUCACCCAUGAAAAAUCUGGGGAAUAUAGAAAGAAUGAUGGACACUAAAGUGAACACUUGGCAUAGUACAAUGCAGUGUUAAAGGAAUAAGGAACACACAUUCCUCUCUGACAUCCCACCCAGUGCAGAAGGCAGUACCAUGGUGGACCAGAACAGAGCAGCCUUCAGGAUGUG